rnacentral:misc_RNA from 1 species
GUGCCAACACUUGUAAUUCAUAAGUUUUUCCAUAGUAAGAUGUUCAAAACUUUUUCCCUUUUUGGCUAUGUCUUCCACUGCAUGAAAAUUGUAACAAUUAACAAUUUCUAUGCAUAUCCGGAAAUCCCAAGUCCUUAGAUUUGCCCUUAUUGUUUUUAUUUUGUUUUCCACAAGAUAUUCCGUCAUUUGUUUUUCUUUUGAAGUCAUUCUUGCACAUUCACUUUUUUAUAUGGUUAUGCUUUGUUCUUUUGCGCUGCUUCUUUACUUUAAUAUCCUUCCCUUUUAUUCACUUUGUUAUGCAUGUCUAAUGUUUCCAAUUUAUGUUACUUGACUUCAGUAUAUACAUGGUUUGGCUG